rnacentral:rRNA from 1 species
UACGAAGGGGGCUAGCGUUAGUCGUGAAUUAUUGGGCGUAAAGCGCGCGUAGGCGGUUAUCUAAGUCGGAUGUGAAAGCCCUCGGCUUAACUGAGGAAGUGCACCCGAAACUGGAUAGCUAGAGUACGAAAGAGGGUCGCGGAAUUCCCGGUGUAGAGGUGAAAUUCGUAGAUAUCGGGAGGAACACCGGUGGCGAAGGCGGCGACCUGGGUCGAGACUGACGCUGAGGCGCGAAAGCGUGGGGAGCAAACAGG